rnacentral:rRNA from 1 species
UACGUAGGGGGCAAGCGUUGUCCGGAUUUAUUGGGCGUAAAGAGCGUGUAGGCGGCCAUGUAGGUCCGUUGUGAAAACUCGAGGCUCAACCUCGAGACGCCGAUGGAAACCAUGUGGCUAGAGUCCGGAAGAGGAGAGUGGAAUUCCUGGUGGAGCGGUGAAAUGCGCAGAUAUCAGGAGGAACACCCGUAGCGAAGGCGGCACUCUGGGCCGAUUCUGACACUGAGGAGCGAAAGCGUGGGGAGCGAACAGG